rnacentral:rRNA from 1 species
CCUACGGGAGGCAGCAGUGAGGAAUAUUGGUCAAUGGACGCAAGUCUGAACCAGCCAUGCAGCGUGCAGGAUGACUGCCCUAUGGGUUGUAAACUUCUUUUAUAUGGGGAUAAAAGGUUCCACGCGUGGGUGUCUGUAUGUAUCGUAUGAAUAAGGAUCGGCUAACUCCGUGCCAGCAGCCGCGGUAAUACGGAGGAUCCGAGCGUUAUCCGGAUUUAUUGGGUUUAAAGGGAGCGUAGGUGGAUUGUUAAGUUAGUGGUGAAAGUUUGAGGCUCAACUGUGAAAUUGCAGUUGAUACUGGCAGUCUAGAGUACAGUAGAGGUAGGCGGAAUGUGUGGUGUAGCGGUGAAAUGCUUAGAGAUCAUAAAGAACACCGAUUGCGAAGGCAGCUCACUGGACUACAACUGACACUGAGGCUCGAAAGUGUGGGUAUCAAACAGGAUUAGAUACCCCUGUAGUC